rnacentral:rRNA from 1 species
AACGCGUGGGAACGUGCCUUUCGGUUCGGAAUAAUCCAGGGAAACUUGGACUAAUACCGGAUACGCCCUUCGGGGGAAAGAUUUAUCGCCGAAAGAUCGGCCCGCGUCUGAUUAGCUAGUUGGUGAGGUAAAGGCUCACCAAGGCGACGAUCAGUAGCUGGUCUGAGAGGAUGAUCAGCCACAUUGGGACUGAGACACGGCCCAAACUCCUACGGGAGGCAGCAGUGGGGAAUAUUGGACAAUGGGCGCAAGCCUGAUCCAGCCAUGCCGCGUGAGUGAUGAAGGCCUUAGGGUUGUAAAGCUCUUUUGUCCGGGAAGAUAUGACUGUACCGGAAGAAUAACCCCGGCUACUUCGUGCCAGCAGCCGCGGUAAUACGAANGGGGCUAGCGUUGCUCGGAUCACUGGGCGUAAANGGCGCGUAGGCGGACUUUUAAGUCGGAGGNGAAAACCCAGGCUCACCUGGAAUGCCUUCAAACUGGGGAUCUUGAAUUCGGAAAAGUGGUGGAACUGCAAUGUAAAGGGAAUUCUAAAAUUCCAAAACCCCGGGGCAAG